rnacentral:misc_RNA from 1 species
CAAAAAUUGAACUAAAAACAAACCCAAAAUGCUCUCCUCGGAAAUCUACACCAAUACGACCACCUCCACGGCUAUGUCGGCGGUGGGGAUAACUUCAGCUGCUUCUGCUUCUGCUGCUGCCUCAGUGGCAACCACAACAACAACAACAGCCACCACAUUGCAAGUGGUGAAAGCGAGAAAACGCCGCAAGCGUCGGAAACGCGCAGGUCACGCAAUUGGUGCCGCCUCCACCACCACCACCAUCACAGCUGCAGCCGCCACAGCCAGCCACCUCGGCAGUCCCCACACCCACACACACCCCCAAGCAGGAAGCGUUUCCCUACCGACAGCAAACGGUGGCAGGAAGUGCAAGGCCCAAUACUUCCAGCACGACAAUCGGGAGUACUUGGCAAAGUACGAGAGCUUUCAACUCACGGCGCACCACACGGCAUCGGGCGCAGCUGCGCUGAACUAUGCGGCGGUGGCGAAAAAGUUCAAGCCCUUGCGGCCGGCGUUAACAAGCGGCGCCAAGAAAACCAGGCGACCAGGAAUGCCCAGAAAGUCGAACCCUGACUGCGCCUGCGCCUGCCAAUCCGCAGUGACGGAGCCGGCCGCGGAACCCAGCCAGCGAACAGCUGUUGCCACGCACCAGGACUUGCCACUGUCCACGUCGCAGUGGGGAAACGGAAGCGCAAACGCGAACGCAUCAAAGAUCAAUAUCGAUGGCCAGAUACUGCUCGAGCUGCUGAAGCACUCCUCGAACACAUUGCUGGAGACACUGCUCGGUGCUGGCAGUGCUGUGUCAUCGAGUGCUCGCGACACCCAUCAGAUAGCCGAGGCACAGCAGCAAAAGAACGCAAGGCUGCGCGAGGCCUUCAACAUAUCGAGCUACUUUGUGGAGGGCAGCAGCUUCGACAACGAUCGCAAAGCAAAAGAGGAUCUGGCCAAAAGCGUGGCUCUACAAAAGGAACUGGACGCACAGCGCGAAAGCCUGGCAGCGGCGGCAGCGGCUGCAGCAGCUGCUGCAGGCAAGGACAAGGAUACGGGCAAGCGAUAUGCUUUGGUCCGUACCCCAUCCCGAGAGCGAGAGCGGGAUGGAGAAGGCCAUGUUGCCGCCGCCAGUGGCGAUGAGCGCGAACAUGUCUCAAAGUCGGACAAGAAGAAGCGCAAGAAGCGCGCCAGAGAAAGCUCUGCCAGUCCUGAGCGCAAAAAGGACAAGAAAAAGAAGUCAAAGAAGCACAAGAAAGAGAGUAAGUCCAAAAAGAAGAAGUCCCGCAAGCGCAAGCACAGCGCCAGUUGCACCGACAAGGAAACCGACAAGGACAGCGACGAGGAGGCGGCGGGCAGCAGCGAUGAGGAGCGCGACCGCGAUCGUGAGCUAAAGAGCGCACGCAAGAAAGCCAAGAAGGACAAGGAUAGCUUUCAAUGGCUCUCUUGUAGUUUUAAAAAGCGCGACAAGAAGCUGAAAAAGAAGUCACGGGCCCGUGCCAGCUCCUCGGACUCGGAGCCCUCCAACUCACCGUCGCGUAAUGAACGCAAAGGCAAGAAGUCGGGCAAAUCCCGCGAUCCAACAGCUACCAAAGCUGAAGACAAUGGCACAUCGCGGGAGAAUCCCUUCCGGAGCAGGUCCCGCGAACGUCGCAGGGAAUUAAAGCGGCCCAACGAAUCAUCGGCCGACGGUCGAAGGGACAAGCGCGAGCGUAGCGAUAGUCGCAGUCGACGUCCCAAGUCCAAUGAACGGGGGGCAACCACCCGUACUCCACCUCGCAAAGAGCCGGAAAGAAAGCGCGAACGUUCUAAGGAGAGAUUUCGAUCAAAAGAAAGGCAACGAUCAAAAGAAAGACAGCGAUCAAAGGAAAGACUUCGUUCGAAGGAAAGACAACGCUCGAAAGAAAGACAGCGAUCAAAGGAACGACCAAAAUCGAAGGAGAGACAGAGGUCGAGGGAAAGACAGCGAUCGAAGGAGAGGAUCCGCUCCAAAGAAAGACAGCGUUCAAAGGAAAGGCAACGCUCUAAAGAGAGGCAAAAGUCUAAGGAUAGACAGAGAUCUAAGGAUAGGCAGAGAUCUAAGGAUAGGCAGAGGUCAAAAGAGAGACAGAGGUCAAAGGAGAGGCAGCGAUCAAAGGCGAGACUUUAUUCGAAAGAGAGACUGCGAUCCAAGGAGAGGGCGCGAUCAAAGGAUAAACCAGUAGUUGAAAUCAAGCGCGACAGAUCAAAGGAUCGCCAGCGAUCAAAGGAGAGGAAACGAUCGGUGGAUAAGGCACCCUCGAAGGAGAGAGAUAUGUCCAAAGGUCGACAAAGAUCAAAGGAGAGACAGCGCUCCAAAGAAAGACGACGUUCUAAGGAUCGCGGUCAACAAUCGAAUGAGAAAAAGCGUUCCAAGGAGCGACAACGAUCAAAAGACCGUCAACGAUCCAAGGAGCGACAGGGAGUGCCAAACCUAGCCGUCUCUAAGGAACGUACCCGGCGCCAGAGAUCGCCAUCGACCUCGGCCAAAAAUUCAACCGAUAAUCGCAAGCCUACUCGCAGUUCUAGAUCACUUUCCCGUUCCCGCAAGCAGCAGUCGCCGGCCGCAGUUGUCGGGAGCAGCCGACGCAGUCAUUCCCCAGAGGUUCCACCCAAGAAGGCUGCGCCACCGGCAUUCAAUCCCUUUAAGGCUGCAGAAGACACUGUCAACGAUAUCCUGGGCACCAAGUCGGUGAUUGUCGAACUGGAGAAGACCAAGCGCAAGCGGGCAGUCUCCAGCUCUAGCUCGGCAUCGGGUAGCUCCAGUAGCAGCUCGUCUGCAUCCCGGACACCUUCGCCCAAGCCCAAGCCUGGCAAACUGCGACGACGCAGCAAAACAUCCGAUCCUAUCAAGAAGGAGAGGAGCCCCAAGCGAGAUCGUCGUACCCCGCGCCAGACCAGCGUGAAGCGUGAACGUUCAAGCACUCCACAAAAGCCCAAGCCAAAGGGAAAGGCGACCACACCCAGUCCGAAGCCAGCAAAGCGACGCUCGCACAGCUCAAGCUCUUCGGAACUGCGCUACUCGCCAGCAGAACGACAUCCAGAGCGCUAUCAGGACAUCAUACAAGACAAGAAGCGGCCAUCGAAGGCACGCGACCUUUCCACAACGAAGCCCGCGCCCGUGGUGCGCCUGAGGGCCCAGAGCGAUGACGGCAGCGAUGCCGAUGCGAGUGGCUCCAAUGUGGAUGCAGCAGCACUUGACGAGUUCCAGCAGAGCAAGCAAGAGCGCGAGGAGCUGCAGGAGCUGCGUAUGCUGGAGCAGCUCAAGUCGGGGAUCGCCGCCAAGGCAAAGCAGAAGAUCAAGACUAUGGAGAAGAACGGAGACGUCAGCAAGGACUCUGCCAAGGAGGGCAGUGAAGUAAGUGGCAACGAACUGGUGACGGCUACUAAACGUAAUUCGCUAAGUGAAUUCCUUGUUGCUAACAAUGUAACCGCUUUGAUUAACCCAUUGACAACGACAACGACUACGACAACACCCCCGCCACUCAUGGCUGUGAUCCUACCGCUGGCACAGCCACAUCCGCAGCUACAGGAGCAGAAGCCGCAGCAGCAGCAUCAGUCUGUGGAGGAGCCAAACCAAAAAAGAGACGACACCACGACGCCGCCCAUUUGCAAAGCGCCCCAAGUGGCUGCCAAUGGCGACGUUAAAAGUCCACCAGCAACGAACAUGAUAACUAAGAUCCAUCAAAGGCCUCCACAGCAGCAGCAGCAGCAUCAGCAGCAGCAGCAGCACCAGCACCAGCAGCAGUCGCAUCAACACCAGCAUCCACACCAGCAACAGCAUUCGCACCCACACCAGACGAAGCGAAUCUUUCACAACCGAACGCUGAACAAUAACCCUAACAGUAGACAUAAUACUAACAACAACAAUAGCAACAACAACAUUCAUGCAUGUGGUGGUGGUGUCCCUCAUUCCAAUAGCAAUCCCGGUAUGCUGCCGUUCCUGGCCGGCACGCCGGGCACCUACAACCGCACAACGAACCGCCUUAACCACGGUCCGCUGCUGACGGCCACCCAUUACAAUAUAUGCAAGAACCAUCAGAACAGCAUGCAACAGCAAGCUCUGCUCGGUCGACGCGACCACCAGCAGCAGCAUCUGGCGCAUGGUCUUGUUUAUAACCCUAGUCUCUUCGGCCUUGGGCAGCAGCAGGCUUUGCUGGCCGCUGGCGGCCAGCAUCAUGGACGUCAUGCCGUUGGGGGCCUUUUGGGCCUGGGCGGUGGUGGCGGACCUGCUGCGGGCCUGGCCUUGCUUAGUCAUCCCCAGCAUGCGAGGACCGGUAGCAUUAGUUUCAACGCGGCUGCAGCGGCUGCGGCCGUGGCAGCCAAUAGUAUAAGCUAUCAUCAUCAUCACCAGCAACAGAAACCGAAAAUUGUAAUAAAACCAUUCAAACUUCUGGAUCCACAGCCCUUAGUUGCUGCACUCGCCGACAGCAGUCUGGUGGACGCCAUCGUCUCCAAGGUGUCCACGGCCACUGUGGCUGCAGCGGAGAGUGCAGCUCGUCGAAGUCGGAGUCGUUCACGCCGCAGCAGUCACAGCCGCAGCAAGCGGCACACGAGUGGCAGUCAUCAUCAUCAUCACUCCAGUAGUCGCUCAAGAUCACGCUCCAGCUCCAGCAGCAGUGCCAGCGGCUCGCGCAGUUCUAGGUCCCGCUCUGGCUCGCAAUCAUCUCGUUCCAGCUGCUCAUCCCAAAGCAGCUCGGGCAGCUCCUCCAGCAGCGGCUCAGGCACAUCACAGUCUGGCUCACGUUCCCCAUCUAUACCACGGCGUCGGGGCUCACCCAGCUUUCUAGACAGACGCCGCAUUACGAGCCGUCGGCCGCCGCCCAGCACCAGACGCUAGUUGCUUUCCAUUGAACUUUGUGUUGCAUCGAUUUCCCAAUUUGUUUAAACACGGCACCUGAUUUUAUUUAAUUGAUCUUGAUUAUUCUUUUUUCCAGCUGACUCAGGAACUACUUAUAGUUUGAUUUUCAAAUUUAUUUCUUCCUUUCAAUGCAAUACAUAUAUUUGUGUGUGCUUGUAAAAUUUUUGUUCUGAUUAUUUCUCGUAUUUAGCGCAAGAUCUAUUGAUUUUGUGGUACACACGCCAAUAAAACAUGUCAUCUCUUAUAUCUUAUUGUUUCCUAGGACAUAAUUUCUAUAAUUUAUUUUUAGCGAAUUUUUAUUGUGUUGAUUACAAUUUUCAGUUGUGCUCGCAAGCGACCCAUUCCCUACCACCACAAGGCAGCCGGUGGCACUGAGGGGGGUGCUGCAGAGGCAGAGGAGGCCUCCAGCUGCUGCU